AGAGCUCAGUCGAUCAAAGGUGUGGCUCGAUCACUUCUUCCUCGCAUCCAUGGUGGUCGUGAAACUGAGUAUAAUGAACAAGUAUUUACUAGCUCUUUGUCAGGCAGUACCGAGUUCCACAGUUGUCGUGCAUGGUGCAAGAGAAUUCGAGGGCAGACUGAUCCCGCCCCCUCUUAGGGACAGCACGGGUCCUUUGCUUGUGCUAGGCUUGCU
rnacentral:misc_RNA from 1 species